ACGCACGCUGGCGGCGUGCUUAACACAUGCAAGUCGAACGGAAAGGCCCUGCUUUUGUGGGGUGCUCGAGUGGCGAACGGGUGAGUAACACGUGAGUAACCUGCCCUUGACUUUGGGAUAACUUCAGGAAACUGGGGCUAAUACCGGAUAGGAGCUCCUGCUGCAUGGUGGGGGUUGGAAAGUUUCGGCGGUUGGGGAUGGACUCGCGGCUUAUCAGCUUGUUGAUGGGGUAGUGGCUUACCAAGGCUUUGACGGGUAGCCGGCCUGAGAGGGUGACCGGCCACAUUGGGACUGAGAUACGGCCCAGACUCCUACGGGAGGCAGCAGUGGGGAAUAUUGCACAAUGGGCGGAAGCCUGAUGCAGCAACGCCGCGUGCGGGAUGACGGCCUUCGGGUUGUAAACCGCUUUCGCCUGUGACGAAGCGUGAGUGACGGUAAUGGGUAAAGAAGCACCGGCUAACUACGUG
rnacentral:rRNA from 1 species